GGUAGUGUGGAGUAGUGGUUUGAGUUUUGGACUACGACUCUGGAGAUCAGGGUUCGAAUUCCCACUCGGCCA